GAAGACGCUAUUGAGUCUACCAUUAUCCAACGUUGCUCUGCUCUUCUUUUCGACGUUGCUCUGGCUCUCCUCUUCCACGUUGCUUUGUUUUCAUCUUCUGUUGUGCUCUACUCUCACUCACUCAAGGUUUCAACUCUCUUCUUCUCUUUACACUCUUCUUCUCUAUUUGUCUCUCUCCUUGGUGAUAUUUGAUGGGUUCAAUUUGCUAUUUCUUAGUUUGAUUUUUAAGUUUUGAUUUUGUGGUUGUUUGUAGUUAGCUUAAUUUGAUGAGAAUUAACAUUUGUGUUGGUUAAUUUUCAUUGAAUUAUAAUUGGGUAUUUUUCUAGGGUUUUCAAUUUUGAAUUGUUUUGAUUAUGGGGUUUUUGUUUGGAAUAAGAAGAAUAAAAGGGUAUAGGUCAUGUGGCUAAUUGCAUGUUGUGUUUGCAAACAGACAUUUGGUUUUUGCAAACUGUGAUUGUAAUUGCAUGUUGUAUUUGCAAUUACUUAGUGAUGGUUUGGCAAUUUGCAUUAGGAAAGUUGAGCUCUCACAUUUUGGAAAUGUUCUAGGCAAUUUGUGGUUUUUGUUUCAUGGAUUAUAAUUGGAUGCUUUUCUAUGGUUAAUUUUUAUUGGAUUAUAAUUGGGUAUUUUUAAAUUGUUUUGAUUAUGAGGUUUUUGUUUAGAAAAAGAAGAAAUGAAUAAAUUGAUGGGUGGAAUUGGAGCUUUGAGCAAAGUUAAUGAAAGUCAUUGUCGUUUGCAUAAUACUUUUAGAAGGGCCUACUUUUAGAUAUUAGCAAGUGAGAAGAAAAAAAAUAGGGAAUCAAAUUUCUUCCAUGCACCAUCAAUUUGCUCAAAGUUAAGCAAUUUAUAAAAGUUGAAUAUCUUUAGAAGGGCCUACUUUGUCUUAUUUAUUGGCUUAAAGCCGCAUGGGUUAGAAAUUGGUUGUUGCAGAGUCUUAUGAAAUCAAAUAACUAAUUCUGACAUCGGCCCUUUGCAGAAAAGUCUUGGAUCAAAUGAAAGAAACACAGCUAAAUUAUCUUAUAUAAACUAUGAAAUUAGGGAGACUUGGUUUUCUUAAAGAAAUUUCUAAUAGGAAUAAGUAGAGUUGAUGUGCCCAAUUUGCUUGCUAUUCUCAUUUCCUAAUAGUUUUCAAUUGCUCAUGGAUGUUCUAUAAUUUCUCUAUGGGUGGCUAGGCAUAACUUUUUGUUAGAUGCUGGUUUUUCUUUUUCAUGGUGAUUGGCACUUUGUUGGUUUGUAUAUAUAUUAUCUAAACAUAUACUUUGUUGGUUUGCAAAAAUACACAUGCUUAAUUUUUGUUGGUUUCUAUGAUUUAUGAGAUAUGAAUCGAAGAAAGCUUUUGUUGAUAUUAUUGAUGGAGAUGUGGCAUUUAGAGACAAUGUGUGGUUGCACAAUUCUUGUGCUUAUGAUGUUCAAAAUGAGGAGAAAUCAAUAGCUUAUAUCAACGGCUUAGUUUGGAAUUGUGGAUGUUUAUUUAUAUAUGUUAUUUAG
rnacentral:lncRNA from 1 species